ensembl:lncRNA
UUUGUCUUCCUAGGACAACAGUAAUGAUAAUCUAAUGCAAUUGGACUAAAGAAGGUGUUGCUAUUAACUAAGUGAUUAUUAUUAUUUUCACACAGGAAAGAAUAAUUGAAUAAAUAUGGGAUGAUAAAGAUGAGGAUAAUAAUUAAAAAUAUAUACAUAAAGUAAAAACGUAAUCUUGAUAAACUGUACAAGUAGGACUACACCAAUUAAAAUAUAGGGUAAAUCUCUUUGGUCAAGGAUGACGGGGAUUAGCGCUACAUCUGCUGGGAAGGGAUCCUACAUGCUAUGUUGUCAAUUUGGAUUCGGAAGUAGUGGGUUUACCUUUCAAAUGCCACUACUGCUGCUGCAACACUUUAAUCAUUUUAACUCUGAUAAAUGACUUUUUGUUUUAUAGUUUCCCUGAGGUGUAUCUUUUACGCACACACACGCUGCAUAGGGCAGAAGCGGCUGAAGACUCUGUCUCCAUCCCUCCACCUUGCGAUCUAUACCACCAUAUAGGUGGGGAUUGACCGUAUCCCAGGUACGGCAUCCUGCAGCGAGCCAGUAUGGAAGGCUGGUUAGCCAACGACGGGUAAGAUCCCACCUUGACACCCGGGACGACCUAAGGCAGGCACAGUCACGAUUACUUGGCAAAGUCGCUGUGGGCACUGGCUUACUUGAUCAUGAAGUCACAAGCUGCAACAAUCAUAGGAAGUGCCGGGUGGGGUGUAGGGUGGAGGAGGAACAGGAGUCAGAUAUGUCAGCUCUUGCAUCAGAGGUGGUCUUGGAACGGGGCAUGUCGCGUUUUAUUUUAUUUUAUUUUACCUUUGUGGUAUAGAAGGCCACUAACGCAUUGUUCAACAGAUGGGUAGAAGCAGUCCCAUCAAAAGACCAAAGUGCGACUACAGUAAUCAAGUUUCUGACUGGAGAAGUCAAGACAAGGUUUGGAAGUCCGUCAGAAAUAAGGUCAGACAAAACGUUUAUUCAGAGAACACUCAAACAUGUGAUUCAACAUUUGCAUGUCAAAUAAAGACUAGAUUACGCCCCAAUCCUCAACCACAAGGUAUGGUGGAGAGAGGAAUGGGACGCUUAAGACAAAGAUUAACAAAAUUAAAUUAGAGUACUAAAUUAAAGGACUAAUGCACUACGACUGACACUAAUGAGUUAUCGCAUGAAAACUAACAGAACGACGCAUCUAACCCCGCAUGAAAUGCUUAAGGGUCGACCCAUGCCUUCACUUAACAUUCGAGGGUGCCAAAAGGGACUUCCAUUAGAGUAAUUAGAAAUAGGAUUAAGGAAAAUAUGUUUGAACAUCUAACUGUUGUACAUAAGUUUGUAAUUCCAGCAAGAGAAACACAAAGUUCCAGGGCCAGAGGAGGAGCCAGAUGCAGACACGCCCGGAGCCGACCAACUACCCAAGGAUGAUGCCAUCAGAUUUCGGCAGGGUUACAGUCCCUCAGAUUAGAGUUGGCAGAGAGCUCCGGCAUUAAUGACCCCUUCACAGGAUGGAUGGAGAGCCCAAUGAGCGAUGGGCGCUACAGGUGCAGCAGGUGCCAUCCAAGCUUACCUGGGGAUCGAGUAUACACCGGAGAGUUUGGACGAGGGACCACCAGAGGGGCCCGACCUGAUCUGGCUGGAGAACAUAGAAUAGACCCCCUGCACCAUUGUCCAAGAGCCCCCACGCCAUGCAGCGCACCAAUACAUGAAGAUCCCCUGAUAAUUUUUGUGGUGUUGACUUUCAAUGCAUGCUGAAAGUGUAGGACUUUGCGUCACAUAUAUUUAGAGUUAUUUGUUGUGAUUUUGAUUCUUAUUUUGUUUAUGGUUACACCUAUUUGUAUGCCCUCUUGGAUUUACUUAUUGAUUUACUAUUUGAUUUAUUAUUGCUUUACUAUUUCAUUAUUCAUUUACCAAUCAUUAAUUGUUGACAGUGGUCUGUACUCCCAACCUACGCCUCCGAAGAGACACUCCCAGACCCCGCCGACGACUGUGUCCCCGCCGAGCCGGACAUCUACCCGUGAGUGCGAGUGGCCUCUCCAGGUGAACGGCCCCGGCGUCCUGUUUCCAUCACCGUCGGCUGACACCCCACCGCAACACCCCUUCCCUCUUCCCCCCCGCCUGUGACGUGCUAGUAACCUCUCCAGGUGGGCUGCCCCAUUCCCGUCCCCGCCAACGGCAUCACCCCCCUCCCACCUGAAGCACCCACGACGCCCGGACCAGGGAUCUGCGUUCCGGUACCAGGGGCUGCGGCCCGCUCCCUUAAGGCUUGAGGGCACCCCUGGCUGUAUUCGCUUAUGUACGCUUCACUGUUUUUAGCCGCUCCCAUAUCUAUGCCCGCGUCUACGCAACCGACGCUGGGAACGUAAAUGUUGUUGUUUAUAUCGCUGUCCCACUAGAUGGAGCUCGGGGAUACACACGGGCGAGAUUCCAGGGGCCUUGAUUGCCCGUUUAUCAGAUGAGGUCCUGAGCGCAGUUGAAUAAAAGGGUCUAAUGCUCAGGUGGCGCCUUGCGACCACCUGCCCAUGAUGACGCUCAGGACUAUUCCAUGGUUUCAGUUGUUCCCGUGCCCCGAGCCUACCCUGGAUGCCCCAUGCGUGUGAUUGCUUGUUGUAACACGACCAGUCAACUCCUCCUCACAUCCUUAGUGUGUGGUCCUCUAGGGAUGGGUUGAGGGGGAUUGCCAUUCGUUAUCCGCCUCAUAUCUUCGCUAUUAUUUAGGGACACGUUUCGUGGUUACAUUUCUUUCCUGUGAUCGUUAGUGUAGUAUUUGUGUGAUUGUUGCAUUUUUAUAUUGUUAUUGUUUACUGUUCGUUUUAUUGUUGCAUUUUUAUAUUGUUAUUGUUUACUGUUCGUUUUAUUGUUGCAUUUUGUUGUUAUGUUUGGAGUUUGUUUUAUUGUUGCAUUUUGUUGUUAUUGUUAUGGUUUGGUGUUGGUUUUGUUAUGUGGCCAGCUUUGUUGUUGGUUGUUGUUUUUUGGUGUUUGUUUUUUGUAUUAUUGUAUGUUUAUGGUAUGUUUUGUGUAUUAUCUGCUACUAUUAUUGUUGGUAUUGUUUGCUCGCAAUGUAGGGCCGGGGUGGAUGCCACCCCCUAGGUGGGGUGUGUAUGGCAUGCCCAUGCCUGAAGCAUGGGUGGCGUUUCUCCCAAGUGGUUCCCCAUACACCCGGUCCAGCGAGCUGUUUUCAUCCCAGGCUCAUGGUUAUUUGUUUUUAUGGUCAUUUGCCUUCUUUCUGUUACUUCUAAUAAUGUUAUAAUGGUAG